rnacentral:rRNA from 2 species
UAGCUCUACCUUAAGCUUCUAAAUUAAACCAAAAACCCUUCAAAGCUUAAGAGCUAUUCAAAUAAGGCACAGCUUAUUUGAAAUAGGGCACAGCCUCUGACACUGGGUAAACAAGGGUAACUCAAACAAAGUCGGCCUAAAAGCAGCCACCUUUUAAAAAGCGUUAAAGCUUAAUUAUAUAUUACCCACAAUUCCCUAAAUUCCCAUUAACCCUUCACCACUACUGAACUAUUUUAUACUCUUAUAAAAGCUAUUAUGCUAGAACUAGUAACAAGAAGUAGUCCUUCUCCAAAAUGUAAGCUUACACCAAAAUGGACAAUCCGUUGGUAAUUAACGCAAAUGUCAUAAUCACAGCAACACACCUCUAGAGAACCCUGUGACCUCUUACGUUACCCUUACACUUGAACAUUCCUAGGAAAGAUCAAAAGAGAAAGAAGGAACUCGGCAAAUCCUCAGCCCCGCCUGUUUACCAAAAACAUCGCCUCUUGACCAAAUAUAAGAGGUCCAGCCUGCCCAGUGACAAAAUUCAACGGCCGCGGUACCCUAACCGUGCGAAGGUAGCAUAAUCACUUGUUCUCUAAAUAGGGACUAGUAUCAACGGCACCACGAGGGCUGCACUGUCUCCUUUCUCCCAUCAGUGAAACUGAUCUCCCCGUGAAGAAGCGGGGAUUAUUAUAUAAGACGAGAAGACCCCAUGGAGCUUUAAACUCAUCACUCACUUCCUCACUUCUAUGCCCUACCAUAUAAGGAACCUGUGUGAUAGUUUUGGGUUGGGGGGACCACGGAGUACAAUCUAACCUCCAUGACAAAUGGGCUACGCCCUUAUCUACGAGCUACAACUCUAAGAAUCAUAAGCUGAUGUUUGAUGACCCGAUAAUUCGAUCAACGAACCAAGUUACCCUGGGGAUAACAGCGCAAUCUACUUUAAGAGCCCCUAUCGACAAGUAGGUUUACGACCUCGAUGUUGGAUCAGGGUAUCCUGGGGGUGCAGCCGUUCCCAAUGGUUCGUUUGUUCAACGAUUAAAACCCUACGUGAUCU